AGGAAGCAGUGACGAUGAACAAGCGGCGGUCGAAACGGAACGACGCGCGGAAGAGAAAAGAGAAGUGGGGUGGAGAUGGAGAUUGGGCGGUGGCGGUGAUGAAGAGAGUUGUUUUAGAGAGGAAAGAGAGAGAUGAGAUCGAUUAGGGUAAGGAAUUGAGAGCGAAGCAGAUGAAGAGGCCAUGGAAGGGUGAUUUACAAGAACCACUGACCGCACGCGCN
rnacentral:lncRNA from 1 species